AGAUUGAACGCUGGCGGCAGGCCUAACACAUGCAAGUCGAGCGGUAGAGAGGUGCUUGCAUCUCUUGAGAGCGGCGGACGGGUGAGUAAUGCCUAGGAAUCUGCCUAGUGGUGGGGGAUAACGUUCGGAAACGGACGCUAAUACCGCAUACGUCCUACGGGAGAAAGCGGGGGACCUUCGGGCCUCGCGCCAUUAGAUGAGCCUAGGUCGGAUUAGCUAGUUGGUGAGGUAAUGGCUCACCAAGGCGACGAUCCGUAACUGGUCUGAGAGGAUGAUCAGUCACACUGGAACUGAGACACGGUCCAGACUCCUACGGGAGCAGCAGUGGGGAAUAUUGGACAAUGGG
rnacentral:rRNA from 1 species